CGAAUGCUGACGUGAGUAACGACAAAACGGGUGAAAAACCCGUUCGCCGAAAGACCAAGGGUUCCAGUCCAACGUUAAUCGGGGCUGGGUGAGUCGACCCCUAAGGCGAGGCCGAAAGGCGUAGUCGAUGGGAAAAUGGUUAAUAUUCCAUUACUUCUGUGUAAUGCGAUGAGAGGACGGAGAAGGCUAAAUCAGCCUGGCGUUGGUUGUCCAGGUGAAAGGAUGUAGGCAUGUAUCUUAGGCAAAUCCGGGGUACUCUAUGCUGAGAUCUGAUAGCAAGCUGUACUUGUACAGCGAAGUGGUUGAUGCCAUGCUUCCAGGAAAAGUCUCUAAGCUUCAGUUACACAGGAAUCGUACCCGAAACCGACACAGGUGGUCAGGUCGAGUAGACCAAGGCGCUUGAGAGAACUCUGCUGAAGGAACUAGGCAAAAUGGUACCGUAACUUCGGGAGAAGGUACGCUGUUGUUGGUGAUGGAACUCGCUUCCUGAGCUGACGACAGCCGCAGAAACCAGGCCGCUGCAACUGUUUAUUAAAAACAUAGCACUCUGCAAACACGAAAGUGGACGUAUAGGGUGUGAUGCCUGCCCGGUGCUGGAAGGUUAAUUGAUGGGGUUAGCGUAAGCGAAGCUCUUGAUCGAAGCCCCAGUAAACGGCGGCCGUAACUAUAACGGUCCUAAGGUAGCGAAAUUCCUUGUCGGGUAAGUUCCGACCUGCACGAAUGGCAUAAUGAUGGCGGCGCUGUCUCCAGCAGAGGCUCAGUGAAAUCGAAAUCGCUGUGAAGAUGCAGUGUACCCGCGGCUAGACGGAAAGACCCCGUGAACCUUUACUGCAGCUUGACACUGAACUUUGACCUUACUUGUGUAGGAUAGGUGGGAGGCUUUGAAGCUGGAACGCUAGUUCCAGUGGAGCCGUCCUUGAAAUACCACCCUGGUAAUGUUGAGGUUCUAACUCUGUCCCGUGAUCCGGGACGAGGACCGUGUCUGGUGGGUAGUUUGACUGGGGCGGUCUCCUCCUAAAGAGUAACGGAGGAGUACGAAGGUGCGCUCAGCGUGGUCGGAAAUCACGCGUAGAGUAUAAAGGCAAAAGCGCGCUUAACUGCGAGACCCACAAGUCGAGCAGGUACGAAAGUAGGUCUUAGUGAUCCGGUGGUUCUGUAUGGAAGGGCCAUCGCUCAACGGAUAAAAGGUACUCUGGGGAUAACAGGCUGAUACCGCCCAAGAGUUCAUAUCGACGGCGGUGUUUGGCACCUCGAUGUCGGCUCAUCUCAUCCUGGGGCUGAAGCAGGUCCCAAGGGUAUGGCUGUUCGCCAUUUAAAGAGGUACGCGAGCUGGGUUUAGAACGUCGUGAGACAGUUCGGUCCCUAUCUACCGUGGGCGCUGGAAAUUUGAGAGGAUCUGCUCCUAGUACGAGAGGACCAGAGUGGACGAACCUCUGGUGUACCGGUUGUGACGCCAGUCGCAUCGCCGGGUAGCUAUGUUCGGAAGGG
rnacentral:rRNA from 1 species